rfam:Oryza meridionalis cultivar OR44 (W2112) chromosome 4, whole genome shotgun sequence.
UUUAAUCGUAGUUAUGAGUUUCCAUGUUUAACGUUUGUCCGUUUAUUUUAUUUAAAUCUUUUUUAUGAUUAGUAUUUUUAUUGUUAUUAGAUGAUAAAAUAUAAAUAAUAAUUUAUGCAUGACUUAUUUUUUCUAAUAUUUUCAUAAUUUUUUUAAAUAAGACGGACGGUUAAACACUGGAUAUAAAAACGACAACUACAUUUAUA